GUGCCCGCUUCGGCAGCACAGACGCUAAAAUGGGAACGCGACAGAGAUUAGCAUGGUCCCUGCACAAGGAUGACACGCAAGUGCGUGAAGCUUCCAUAUUCUU